rnacentral:ncRNA from 1 species
CAGAGUAGGAAAUGGUGCGUUAAGUGUUCGGCAGACGGGGAGUUGCUGCCGGGACGAAAAGCGAGACAGAUCGCUUGCGGUACCGUUUCCGCAUCCCGCUG